UACGUAGGUGGCAAGCGUUGUUCGGAAUUAUUGGGCGUAAAGAGCGUGUAGGCGGCCAAGCAGGUCCGUUGUGAAAACUGGAGGCUUAACCUCCAGACGUCGACGGAAACCGCGUGGCUAGAGUCCGGAAGAGGAGAGUGGAAUUCCUGGUGUAGCGGUGAAAUGCGCAGAUAUCAGGAGGAACACCAAUAGCGAAGGCAGCUCGCUGGGACGGUACUGACGCUAAGGCGCGAAAGCGUGGGGAGCGAACAGG
rnacentral:rRNA from 1 species